rnacentral:misc_RNA from 1 species
GAGCCACUUAAGAACUAUUUGAUCCUACCAAAACUAAGGAAGAUAUGCAGGAUUUUUGGUGUCAUUUUCCAGUGUUUAUGGGGGAGGAGAGGAGGUACCAUCAAUAUGAGAUGUAAGAUUAUAGCCAUACAAAAGAUGAAGAAUUUGAGCCUUCCACAGGAGGUAAUUUGUUAAUGUAUGUUUCAUAGUUAAAAAUUGCGAUGGGUUAGGAAGAGAGGACAAACUACCAGAUGAGUUAAUAAGAACAAUUUGGGAUGCUGAUGAUAAGGGAUAUCCAACA